rnacentral:rRNA from 1 species
AUGUGGCGUGGAUUUAAGGAUCACAUCCCCCUGGUCAUAGAUUCUACAAGGUGCAGACUGGGAUCUGGCAAACUCAUAUCCUUCUGGCACGACCUCUGGCUAGAUGCUGGCAGACUGCACUUACUACUACCAGUCCUCUAUUCUUUUGCCAGAAACCGCUGCUGCUCAGUUAGUUCACAAUUCUUGGAUGGGGCCUGGUCAGUGCAACUCCACCCCAACCUCUCCCACACUGCUGAAAAUGAGCUGCACCUGCUUCGGCAACUCAUUGCACACAUCACACCUGACGGGUCGCGACCAGACAUGCGUACUCCAGCUGUGUUUGCUAAGACUGCCACUACUGCUUUUUUCUACUGGCUGCUGACCUUCCGAGGAGUCACCUGUGUUUUCCGCGGUUGGGUCUGGGACGUGCUCAUCCCUCUCAAGUACAAGACCUUUCUCUGGUUGGCCUUUUGGGAUCGGCUAAACACCAAGCACAACAUGGUCAAGAAGCAUUGGGUAGUGGUGGCUCCAAACGCAGGCUGUGAUCUCUGUCCUGCAGUGGAAUCAGUUCAUCACAUAAUGCUACACUUCAGGGCAGCGUCUAUGCUCUGGCACCGGCUGCAACUGGCAAAUAUAGCUGGCAGAUCACCAGACAUACUGUCCUUCGUCCAACAAGCUGCUGCUCUUUGA